rnacentral:rRNA from 1 species
AUUGAACGCUGGCGGCAGGCUUAACACAUGCAAGUCGAGCGGAGAGAGGUAGCUUGCUACCGAUCUUAGCGGCGGACGGGUGAGUAAUGCUUAGGAAUCUGCCUAUUAGUGGGGGACAACAUUUCGAAAGGAAUGCUAAUACCGCAUACGUCCUACGGGAGAAAGCAGGGGAUCUUCGGACCUUGCGCUAAUAGAUGAGCCUAAGUCGGAUUAGCUAGUUGGUGGGGUAAAGGCCUACCAAGGCGACGAUCUGUAGCGGGUCUGAGAGGAUGAGCCGCCACACUGGGACUGGGACACGGCCCAGACUCCUACGGGAGGCAGCAGUGGGGAAUAUUGGACAAUGGGCGCAAGCCUGAUCCAGCCAUGCCGCGUGUGUGAAGGAGGCCUUAUGGUUGUAAAGCACUUUAAGCGAGGAGGAGGCUACUGAAGUUAAUACCUUCAGAUAGUGGACGUUACUCGCAGAAUAAGCACCGGCUAACUCUGUGCCAGCCGCCGCAGUAACAC